UACGUAGGGUGCAAGCGUUGUCCGGAAUUAUUGGGCGUAAAGAGCUCGUAGGCGGUUCGUCGCGUCGGCUGUGAAAUCCCGAGGCUCAACCCCCGAGCCUGCAGUCGAUACGGGCAGACUAGAGUUCGGUAGGGGAGACUGGAAUUCCUGGUGUAGCGGUGAAAUGCGCAGAUAUCAGGAGGAACACCGGUGGCGAAGGCGGGUCUCUGGGCCGAUACUGACGCUGAGGAGCGAAAGCGUGGGGAGCAAACAGG
rnacentral:rRNA from 1 species